rnacentral:rRNA from 1 species
GAUGAACGCUGACAGAAUGCUUAACACAUGCAAGUCGAUGGGGAAGUGGUGCUUGCACCAUGGUAACCAUGGCGGACGGGUGAGUAACGCGUAAGGAACUUGCCUGCGGGACUGGGAUAACAGCAGGAAACUGCUGAUAAUACCGGAUAAGGUCAUUAAGCUGCAUAGCUUAGUGAUGAAAGGAGACGCCUGCGGAGAGCCUUGCGUCCUAUUAGCUAGUUGGAAGGGUAACGGCCCACCAAGGCGAAGAUAGGUAGCCGGCCUGAGAGGGUGGACGGCCACAAGGGGACUGAGAUACGGCCCUUACUCCUACGGGAGGCAGCAGUGGGGAAUAUUGGACAAUGGGGGCAACCCUGAUCCAGCAAUUCUGUGUGCACGAAGACGGUUUUCGGAUUGUAAAGUGCUUUCAGCAGGGAAGAAGGAAGUGACGGUACCUGCAGAAGAAGCGACGGCUAAAUACGUG